GCUGGGUGUGGUGGUGCACACUUGUGGUCCCAGCUACUUGGGAGGCUGAGAUGGGAGGAUCGCUUGAGCCCAGGAGGUUGAGGCUGCAGUAAGCUGUGUUCAUGCCACUGCCCUCCAGCCUGGGCAAGAGAGCGAGAUUCUGUCUCAA
ensembl:misc_RNA Metazoa_SRP Metazoan signal recognition particle RNA